rnacentral:rRNA from 1 species
CCGUGCCAGCAGCCGCGGUAAUACGGAGGGUGCAAGCGUUACUCGGAAUCACUGGGCGUAAAGCGCAUGUAGGCGGACUUACAAGUCAGGUGUGAAAUCCUAUGGCUCAACCAUAGAACAGCACUUGAAACUGUAAGUCUAGAGUUCGGGAGAGGCAGAUGGAAUUUCCGGUGUAGGGGUAAAAUCCGUAGAGAUCGGAAGGAAUACCUAUUGCGAAGGCGAUCUGCUGGAACGCAACUGACGCUCAGAUGCGAAAGCGUGGGUAGCAAACAGGAUUAGAUACCCUGGUAGUCCACGCCCUAAACGAUGGAUGCUAGUUGUUGGGGAGCCAGUCUCUUCAGUAAUGCAGCUAACGCAUUAAGCAUCCCGCCUGGGGAGUACGGUCGCAAGAUUAAAACUCAAAGGAAUAGACGGGGACCCGCACAAGCGGUGGAGCAUGUGGUUUAAUUCGAAGAUACGCGAAGAACCUUACCUGGGCUUGACAUCCUAAGAACUUUGUAGAGAUACAUUGGUGCUAGCUUGCUAGAACUUAGUGACAGGUGCUGCACGGCUGUCGUCAGCUCGUGUCGUGAGAUGUUGGGUUAAGUCCCGCAACGAGCGCAACCCCCGUCCUUAGUUGCUAACGGUUCGGCCGAGAACUCUAAGGAGACUGCCUUCGUAAGGAGGAGGAAGGUGGGGACGACGUCAAGUCAUCAUGGCCCUUAUGCCCAGGGCAACACACGUGCUACAAUGGGGUGUACAGAGAGAAGCAAUACUGCGAAGUGGAGCAAAUCUCUAAAACAUCUCUUGGUUCGGAUUGCUCUCUGCAACUCGAGAGCAUGAAGC